rnacentral:rRNA from 1 species
UACGGGGGGGGCAAGCGUUGUUCGGAAUUACUGGGCGUAAAGGGCUCGUAGGUGGCCAACUAAGUCAGACGUGAAAUCCCUCGGCUUAACCGGGGAACUGCGUCUGAUACUGGAUGGCUUGAGUUUUGGAGAGGGACGCGGAAUUCCAGGUGUAGCGGUGAAAUGCGUAGAUAUCUGGAGGAACACCGGUGGCGAAGGCGGCGUCCUGGACCAACACUGACACUGAGGAGCGAAAGCCAGGGGAGCAAACGGG